CCGGCUCACGAUGAACGCUAGCUACAGGCUUAACACAUGCAAGUCGAGGGGCAGCAUGGUCUUAGCUUGCUAAGGCCGAUGGCGACCGGCGCACGGGUGAGUAACACGUAUCCAACCUGCCGUCUACUCUUGGACAGCCUUCUGAAAGGAAGAUUAAUACAAGAUGGCAUCAUGAGUCCGCAUGUUCACAUGAUUAAAGGUAUUCCGGUAGACGAUGGGGAUGCGUUCCAUUAGAUAGUAGGCGGGGUAACGGCCCACCUAGUCUUCGAUGGAUAGGGGUUCUGAGAGGAAGGUCCCCCACAUUGGAACUGAGACACGGUCCAAACUCCUACGGGAGGCAGCAGUGAGGAAUAUUGGUCAAUGGGCGAGAGCCUGAACCAGCCAAGUAGCGUGAAGGAUGACUGCCCUAUGGGUUGUAAACUUCUUUUAUAAAGGAAUAAAGUCGGGUAUGGAUACCCGUUUGCAUGUACUUUAUGAAUAAGGAUCGGCUAACUCCGUGCCAGCAGCCGCGGUAAUACGGAGGAUCCGAGCGUUAUCCGGAUUUAUUGGGUUUAAAGGGAGCGUAGAUGGAUGUUUAAGUCAGUUGUGAAAGUUUGCGGCUCAACCGUAAAAUUGCAGUUGAUACUGGAUAUCUUGAGCGCAGUUGAGGCAGGCGGAAUUCGUGGUGUAGCGGUGAAAUGCUUAGAUAUCACGAAGAACUCCGAUUGCGAAGGCAGCCUGCUAAGCUGCAACUGACAUUGAGGCUCGAAAGUGUGGGUAUCAAACAGGAUUAGAUACCCUGGUAGUCCACACGGUAAACGAUGAAUACUCGCUGUUUGCGAUAUACAGCAAGCGGCCAAGCGAAAGCGUUAAGUAUUCCACCUGGGGAGUACGCCGGCAACGGUGAAACUCAAAGGAAUUGACGGGGGCCCGCACAAGCGGAGGAACAUGUGGUUUAAUUCGAUGAUACGCGAGGAACCUUACCCGGGCUUAAAUUGCAGAUGAAUUACGGUGAAAGCCGUAAGCCGCAAGGCAUCUGUGAAGGUGCUGCAUGGUUGUCGUCAGCUCGUGCCGUGAGGUGUCGGCUUAAGUGCCAUAACGAGCGCAACCCUUGUUGUCAGUUACUAACAGGUUCCGCUGAGGACUCUGACAAGACUGCCAUCGUAAGAUGUGAGGAAGGUGGGGAUGACGUCAAAUCAGCACGGCCCUUACGUCCGGGGCUACACACGUGUUACAAUGGGGGGUACAGAGGGCCGCUACCACGCGAGUGGAUGCCAAUCCCCAAAACCUCUCUCAGUUCGGACUGGAGUCUGCAACCCGACUCCACGAAGCUGGAUUCGCUAGUAAUCGCGCAUCAGCCACGGCGCGGUGAAUACGUUCCCGGGCCUUGUACACACCGCC
rnacentral:rRNA from 1 species